GGACAGGUGGCCGAGUGGUUUAAGGCAGCAGUCUUGAAAACUGCCGUGCGUGGAAGCGUACCGUGGGUUCGAAUCCCACCCUGUCCG
rnacentral:tRNA from 1 species